GACAUCGUGCACUUAAAAUUUCAGAAGGACAAUCAGUUAUUCAUGGACUAUUUUAUUUUAGGAUUGCUCGGUCUGCUUGUAGCCAAGAACAGUCCUUUUACAGAUGCUUUACAAUGCUACAGUUGCAAGAAUAUCGCCAAUGUCAAUGAUUGCAACACAUCGGUUGAAUGUGAAGUUGGGCAGUCUUGCAUUCUACAAACAAACGGUGGCAACAACGGAUCGUAUUUGCUUGGAUG